CAUCUUCUGUGUUGUCUGUGACCAAGUCAGAGGGCAGCAACAAUGUGAAUCUACAAACUGUGACAGUUGGAAAGGAGGUAACUGUGGGACUCAGGGACAAUGGGGCAAACGUGACUCUUGUGUGUCCAGAGCUAGUGCACUCUGAGGAGGUCAUUCCUGGCAGGACUAUAGCAGUUAAAGGAAUUGGUGGAGUACGUCUUGUAGUGCAAAUGGCACAAGUUUAAUUUGAUUAGGGAGCGGGGGAGAGUUUCAGAGAUGUGGGGAUAGAUGAGAAUAUCCCUGCAAAUGUAUUACUUGGUACUGACUUAGGUAGAUUGUUAUCCCAGUAUGUGCCUGAAAGUAAUAUGUGUUAUCAACCCAAACCUCCACCUACUGUGGAGAGGGCAAACAUGUGUCAAUCUGUGCCAGAGCCAGGGGUAAAAACAACUUCACAGGGAGGUAGGGCAGGAUGAGCAUGUGCGCCUAUCUGUGCCAGAGCCAGAGAUGUUUGAGAUGCCAUGUGAAAACAUAAGUGGAUUAACACAUUGGGAAUC